CCCUGCAGUUCUCGCCUGGUUUCCCACUGAAGUUAAGCAGCGCUGAGCCUGGCCAGUACCUGGAUGGGAGACGUCCUGGGGGAAACUAAGGUUGCUGCUGGAA
rnacentral:rRNA from 1 species